UGAAGAUAAAUAAAGAUUAAUGGUUGAAGAAGUGAAGAAAUAAACUUAAUAAAUCAACUGGGCCUGCUAGCGCCUGUCCACCAAAAAAGCAGAAGAAAAUUUCCCAAUGAGCUCAGACACUUGAUCCACGAUUCUGCCUAUAUCCCAGGCUCUUUCUGACCUCCUCGUCCUCCAGAGCCAGUGGCACUUCGGCCUUUCUUUCUCGCAACGGAAUCUUGUUCCAAAACCUGUCCCCUAUUAUGCAGUGCAAACGAGAACAGAUGGGGAAAAGUUAUGUUGGAAAGGGCUUUGGAGGGCCACGGAGAAGAGAAAUAUGACUACUCAAUGUGUCACACACCAACUUGCAGCUGCCACCAGCGAGGCUUCCACACAAGAGCUGCCUGCGGAAGCGGCCCCGGCUCGGAGGAGCAGGAGCUGCGGGAAAGGAGCGCAAUUAGAGAACAGUAGCUGUGCCUGUGUUUCCCUGAAAAUAGGAAGAAAGAGUGGAGCAGCGGCACAGCCAACAAAAGAGAAACCCCAAGGCCGGCCUGGAGAUGCGCAGCCACUGCGAACCAGCGAAAGCGAGCCAGUAAUUGGCUUCAUCCAGACCUUUACCAUCAAAGAAAUGCCUCAGCAGGUCUCAAAGCCACCACGAGGGCCUCCUUUCUGUUCAAGAAUUGCGACUUAGGAAAGGUCACAGCAGCCUGCAUGCGCGCUGGGCCUUGCGACUGGAGUGUCAGGGCUUGCGGCUCCCUCAGCGCCCCAAGUGCUGGCGGCUGAGCUGCUUUCAAGCUGCCUCUCUGCCGGCCACCAGGGUCGAGUCAUCCGGCAAGUCACCCUUCUUCCCCCGAGGUCCACAAUGCGCCACUCGUGGCCAGGCACGUGCAACCAGGUGUAAGGGUUUUGCUCCGUGAGCUAGGUGCUGCGCAGACCGCAGGAGCGCCCACUGGUUACAGCAGCUUUGGUCGGGGUGCGGUGGGAGAGCAGAGACAGCCUCUUUGUUGAACCCAAUGUGAAGAUCUAUGGUUAUACAUAUUUAUGUAAAUUCCUACAUAUUCUUAGCGUGGAAGGCCAGAGACUCUAUGCUAAAAACAAUUACAAAGCUAACAAUGUUUCAGGGUGCAGGAGUAUUGCUCAGUCGUGGCACCCACACCUAAAAUGCAGGAGGCGUUAGUUCAAUCCUCAGCGACAAGCUCCUACACGCAAAAGGUUAACAUGAUUUAAAUUAUUUGAUCCAAAGCCUCGUUAAGGCCAUACAGAUGGCUGGGUGUGGUGGCACAGGCCUGUAAUCCCAGCACUCGGGAAAUUGA